rnacentral:rRNA from 1 species
UACAGAGGGGGCAAGCGUUGUUCGGAAUUACUGGGCGUAAAGGGCGCGUAGGCGGCCUUCUAAGUCGAACGUGAAAUCCCUAGGCUCAACCUAGGAACUGCGUCCGAUACUGGGAGGCUUGAAUCCGGGAGAGGGAUGCGGAAUUCCAGGUGUAGCGGUGAAAUGCGCAGAUAUCAGGAGGAACACCGAUGGCGAAGGCAGUGGUCUGGGCCGAUACUGACGCUGAGGAGCGAAAGCGUGGGGAGCGAACAGG